GGAGGGUGGCAGAGACGUCCACCUGGAGGGGCUGGGAGGACGGCAGAGACGUCCACCUGGAGGGGCUGGGAGGACGGCAGAGACGUUUACCUGGAGGGGGCUGGGAGGGUGGCAGAGACGUCCAUCUGGAGGGGGCUCAGGGAAUGGCAGAGCACAGCCACUCGGCUCCUCCAGAUGUGCCCUCAUGGCAAGCUGCAGCUACCCAGGGAACCCUAACCCUUGGAUCCCUAGACAGAAGCACUGACCAGAAUCAGCACCGUAGCACUCCAUGUCCACUCUGCAGGGCUACUUGUCUACUUGUAGCUGCUACUUCUGCACUGAAAAUGUAAACCUCUAUUUUACAGCAUCCAAACACUCACACAACCUAUUUUACCCGAUACAGUCUUCACUGACUUAAAAGGAGUGUACUGAAUGAACAUUUUCCUUGAGGUGUCCAGGCAGGGAAAUCGGCAGUGUGUAAAAGAACCCUGUCCACGUACACACUUCCUGGUGGCCCGUCCCUCCACGGAGUCCUCUUCAGAGCUGAAGGAAGCGAGCUACCAAGCCCAGGCAGACAGGGGAGACACAGAGGCAAGCUAGACCCUCUGAGUGAAGGGAGCCGACGGGGAGCACUGCUGUACCCACCCAGCCACAGGGAAACCAGGGGGCAGUGAAGGCGGGGGACAGCAGGGGCUGGGGGGACAGAGGGAGGAGCAGGCAGAGCAGAGGACUGUCGGGCAGUGAACCUGGGGGACACGGCUUUGUCCACUGGUUUAGGCCCUCAGACCUCCAGGUGUGGAUGCAUCCCCGUCAGCACAGUGGAGUGGGCAGUGGGCGUGCGAGCCCUCUACACUCUCCAUUCAGUUCUGAUGUGAUCCCCAAAUGACUCUAAAAAUGAAGCCAGUAAACACAGACACACACACACACACACACACUCACACACAGAGACACACAGACACACAGAGACACGCACACAGACACAUACUGACACACAGACACACACAGUCACAGACACACAUGCUCACACACACACACGUGCCCAGGCAGGGCCUGUGAGGGACAUUCCCAGCCUAUGGGGAGAGGGAGGGAGGGAGCCUGUCCCUGUGCUGUGCUGGGGCAGGGCCCUGUGGCUCUCCUGCAGGUAGCGUCAGAGAGUACCCACUUUCCCUACUUAUUCUCCUUAAAUCCUCUUCCUGCCUGCCUGCCCUCCCUCAUAGUUUUUUUUCUCUUCUUUUUUCUACCCAAAACGUUCUCAUCCCUUCUUUAUGGCCAGGAAGGAAGACACCUGGAAACCGUGCCCUCUCGUGGCCCUUAGGGGAAGCCAUUUGUCCCCUGGAGGCACGGACUUCCCCCAGCUUUGACCCAGGAGCAGCCUGGACAGGCCACCUGGGGCCUGUCCAGCAGGCAGUAAGCGGGGUAGGGUCCUCGGCCAGCAGCACUGACAUGGUGUCACCCACUCACAGGUGAACCUGAACGGGAUGCCAGGUUGUGUACACCUGGCUGUGCUCAGAGGGCAGCGAGGCCCUGCCCGGAGGAGGGCCACGCUGGGAGGAGGGCAGGCGAGGUCAGGGGGCCAAGCCACGCCUUUCCUCCCCGUGGGACCUGGGUGGGCGCCAUCUCGGUGUCUCAAACCCCUGGGCCGACUUCCCCCGCCCAAGACCCAAAGUCCCCUUCAGUCUGUGACUGGAAAGACCCCAGGUCCCCUGACAACCACACGGCACUCAUGGACCAGUUCAUUCUUUAUUUUGCAAAGCAGGGCAACUGGAGGAAGCAGAUGGGAGGGUCUGCACAGUGCAGGAGCCUCCCUGGCCGGCUGGUGGCCUCACAGCUGCCAGAGGUGGUGAGUGGCACAGAAGAGCCACUGGGUGGCUCAGGGGUGGGAGAGGACAGUGACCAAGAUUACAAAGCUAAACAUGAGGUACACAGUGACUCCCUCGUCCUAGUAUAAAAAUAGUGUCAGAAACUAUAUAUUUGUUCAGAUGUAGUGAAAAGGCCUAAGGUACAAACAGGCAGGGGCAGUGGCUGUGGGACUCGGGCUCCUCUCCCAAGCUGCAGGACCAAUCCACAGUUUUACGAUCCCAUGGCUUCCGGCUACAUUCAAGGACGUGUCCACGGGGGCCUUCGGAGGUGUGGGAGGGCCCCCUGAGCAGAGGUCGGCACUGCCCAGUUCACAGCCGCGACAGCCUGGCCAGCGCGGGGGCAGACGCUGCUCUUGCCUGGCUGCUCCCCAGGCUGUCACAGGACGAGGACGCAGGACACGCACUGAAGGGCCCUGCGCAGGCCUGGGGUGAGGAAAAGCCCGGGCACGGGAGGAGUGACGGGCCCUGUGGUGUCCCUUCCUACCCGGGCACAGGCUCAGCCCGACACACCUCCUUCCGAGCCACCCCCACAGGCCGCAGGAGAGGACGGCGGCCGCUGCGUCUGAUUCAGUCCUGUUGAAACACAGCAGGAGCCAGAGCCUGGGCCGCUCUGGGCCAGGUGUGCCCUGUGCCACCUGCCGAGGGAAAGGCACUGCACCGGCAGGAGCUGGGGACGCAGCUCCCUCCAGGGACCUGGCUCCAGACUGCUCCCCCAGCUCCAGCACUGCUCACAGGGAGACCGCCCACCGAUGGUGGCCAGGAGCUGGUCUGUGCCCAGGUGAGGCGUUUAGGGGACCGGCAGGGGAGCAGUGCGUCCUUGGCUUCUCCAUCUUGGAAACGCAAGUGAGAAGGACCUGUGGGCUGAGGCCUGUGGCACGGGGGGGCUGUGUCCUUGCCCUCCCCAGCUCUGUACAAUACAACAUUCAGGCUCAGGGCAAGUGCGCCCUGAAUGCACGCGGGCGGUGCCUGCAAUGCCAGGGCUCGAGAACAGGGGGAGGAGCUUCACAGACACCCUUGGCCCCGCCAGUAAAGCUCGGGACUGCUCGGCUGACCCCGAGGCGGAGUGGCAUCACCCUGCUCUGCUGUGACCAACCAACCCAGCAACCACGAAUACAGGGUGGGGUGAGGGGGACUGUUUCUGUCUCCAGCCUGAAGAUCCUGGACAGGAAACUUUCACAGAAGAAAAACUGAUCUGUGCCCUGCCCCCAGGCAGCAGUCCCCAUCUGCCACUGGUUCCCACCAGUGGGGACGCGGAGCCAGGACGUGCCCUGCAGACACAGGGGUGCCUCGGAGCUGCAGUGUCGGUGGCGACACGGAGCCUGGCCCUGCCUAACUUCCUUCACGGUCCAAACCAGUGACACAAAAUAAGCUGCUAUCUAAGAACAAACCAACGCCUAAGCUGAAUGCAUCUCCUUCUUGUUGAAACACACAUCCAAACCCUCCACGCAGAAUCGGCGUUGUCUCGCGGCACACGCCAGAGGGGCCUGAGCACACUGCCCGAGAGUGGGCGGCUCUGUAUUUUGGCAUAACAGGUGUGUGAUGAAGCUUGUCAGAGAGUCUACCCUAGAGAAUCAUGCACGCGUGCACAGGUGCGUUCCGUGUGCAGACACGACGAUUGCUGGUGAGUCUGUGUAAUUCACACUCCAGUGCCACCAAGAGGCAAUGUUAGAUUUCACCUGUGUCAUGAAAUAAAACAUUCUGAAGGUCCAGGUCCGCAACACCAGCUAGAGCUCCCUGGACGCGCCUCACAGUGCAGUGAUGGCCACACUUUAUCCUGCCUCUUCUCUGGACUUGAAUGGCAGGAAUAGAGCCGGGGGCUCACACAUACACACACACACACACACACACACACGCACGCACAGCACUAAGGGGAACACGCUGAGUUUUAGGGCGUUAGAGGAUGUGAACAGGAGUCAAGAGCACUGAAAGACCUUGAGGCCACGGCACACCCACACCCAGGGCUCCUGUCCACCUUAGUGACAGCUACCCAGAGCAGACACUUCCCCUCCCUGUAAGAAAGUGGGAGGGUGUGCUGCGGGUCACGGGAGGUGCCCAGAGCUCCCGUCGGGGCAGGAGCAUGCAGAGGAGAAGAGACCGGGUGGUGAGAGCCGCCCUGGCUGGAAGGGACCCACUGGGGGCGACUGUGGGUGGGGUGUGGUGGAGGAGGUGGGUCAUGGGGCUGCCCCAAGGGUGCUUCUCCACCACGGCCCCUGCCCCCUUCCCAGCUGCAGGGAGAUAAGUGCCUCCUCUACCAGGCUCAGGGCAGCGAAGCGGUCACCACGGACUGAACCCGGAGCUCCUCUCUGUGGUCCUCGUCAGCUGUUCUGGUCACAGCAAACCUGACUAACGCAGGUGGACGCUGACAGGCCAAGUCUCUCCUCCUGCUCCCCCCAGAUCCAAAGGUCUCCGCACGCAUGGGGCAGAGUUCCUCUCGGGUGCCACCUGCUCCACUGUCCACUCCCCCAACGCUGGGCCAGCGGGAACUCAGGGGCACGCUGAGGUGGGCUCAAACCCCAGGAGGGUGCGCACUGACUGGGAGCUGCAGGGCCACCCGCACUGCGGGCCGAGGGCAGUGCCCAGGCCUCGUGCUCAGGCCCUGCUCGCCUUGUGAGCUGACCGCAGCUUCUCAGCCGCGGUGCUCCUGACCUCACUGGGCGGAGGUGCCCUUCCUGCUCCCUCAGCUCUGCCCACAGCUCCGGAUCAGAGCCCUGCUGCCGACACAGUCCAACUCUCCUCCAGGGUCCACCUGACAGACUGAAGGAAGAGAGAUGGAGCUCCGUCCUGGAGCCCGGUGUCCCUCCAGGACCUCCCACGGCAUGUGUUUGGCUGGUGGUGGAAUGGGGCUUCUCCGCUGACCUGCUGACCCCUGCAGGUGAGACGGGCGGCCCUUGCUGGGGGUCCUGGGGGGAUGGCCAAGCCCCACCCCCAUUCUUUCACAAAGCAGCAGGUCAGUGGAUGCAUUUUCCUUGCGAUGUGGCCUCACACUCUUUCCACCUGAGCAGACCCUUGUUCCUCCUAACCCCACCUGGCCCCCAGCAGGCCCACCAGGGCUCACACACAGUCCUUCCGGCCUCUUGAGACAAGCAAGACUCCCAACCACGGGAGCCGGUUCUCAUAAACCCAGGCAGGAAGCAGCGGCAGAGCGGCACCCACACCCCCCAGCACACACAGCCCCACCUGGCCGUGGGCUUCCCGCGGCACAGACAUGCCCAGAACCUGUGGAAACGUCCCCUGAAAACACGUCAUGGUGCUCUCGAAAGCCGUGCAGAAACAAGAACACAGCAGUGGCCAAGUGUGGACGGUCUGCUCGGCGCACAGUGGGCUGGGGCUCCCAGAGGUGCCUCGGAGUCUCCACGCCGCGCCAACAGCCCCUCAGUUCCGCUUGGCCUGGCCGCUCUCCCCGUUGACCAGCGUCUUCUCCUGCUGCUCUGCCAGGGCCUGCCACUUCUGCCUGUUCCUCUGGCAGCCCUCCAGCAAGGGCCGGCAGUCCUCCGACACGUGGGUCAGGGCCUGGAGAGGAAGAGAGGAAGCAGGUGGAAGGACGCAGGCCGCAGCCCGCCCAGGCCACGCUCCACUCCUCUCGGGAGCCUGGCCUUCCCACGUGGACAACACACAGGGACCUCAGGAGGGAGUCCCCCGCAGCACCGAGGUGUGGAGGCUGGGCUGGGUGGGACCCGCUGUUUGGGGAACAGGGCUUGUUUCUGUGUGGUGCAGACGGCUUCGGGGGGUGACUAGCAGGCUUGCAGUGCUGAGAGGCGAGCCAAGUAGGAGUGACGCAUCGCAGUUUCUUUGUCAGCCUACCCCAUGUUGCUUAGAGGAAGGACUCUCCAUGGUGGACCCAGGUCAUUUGCAGUGACUUUGCAUGAAAGGUGACCUUGCUCAAGGACCAGGGCGGAUCUGGGUUUAGGGUAGAUCAGGGUUUAAGGCGGAUGGGGGUUUAGGGCCUUCUGGGUUUAGGGCGGUUCCAGGUUUAAGGUGAUUCCUGCUGGGAAUAGGGCCUAUCCUGCUGCCUCAGGCGCGCCCGCUCCUUGAGUUCCCGUUGAGUUCUCGCGGGAUUCAGAGAGUAUUUUGGGAUACAGAGCCCAGUGGAGGUGUGGAUUUUGCCCAGAACGUGCGUGUAGAGGGCCGGUGAGAGUUCGGGAAUAAAGAAUUGCUGUUUGAAUCUACAA